CUACGGGACGCUGCAGUGAGGAAUAUUGCACAAUGGAGGAAACUCUGAUGCAGCAACGCCGCGUGGAGGAUGACGCAUUUCGGUGUGUAAACUCCUUUUAUAUGUCAAGAAAAUGACGGUAGCAUAUGAAUAAGCACCGGCUAACUCCGUGCCAGCAGCCGCGGUAAUACGGAGGGUGCAAGCGUUACUCGGAAUCACUGGGCGUAAAGGACGCGUAGGCGGGUUGGAAAGUCAGGUGUGAAAUCCUACAGCUUAACUGUAGAACUGCACUUGAAACUUCUAAUAUAGAGUAUGGGAGGGGGAGAUGGAAUUAGUGGUGUAGGGGUAAAAUCCGUAGAUAUCACUAGGAAUACCUAAAGCGAAGGCGAUCUCCUGGAACAUUACUGACGCUAAGGCGUGAAAGCGUGGGGAGCAAACAGGAUUAGAUACCCGCGUAGUC
rnacentral:rRNA from 1 species